ACAAGAGUUGAGCCUCCCGCAUCUCCUCCUUGCCGUUGAAGUAGACCAAGUCGCCAUCUCCGUCGCUUAAGCCAUUCAUAGUGAUCAGCCUGCUGUCAACUCCUCCUCCCCAACAGCAUCGGCAACAUCAGCACGGGCAGUGCACUUCUGGACUCAAAGCUCAGCAACAGCGGCGGCACCGGCAGCUUCGAGGUCGAGUCUCGGAAGCUCCCUUCCUCCAAGUACAAAAGCGUGGUCCCGCAACCAAACGGACGCCAGGGCCCACAACGUUGCUGCACAACGCUUCCGUCGCCACAACGCCAACAUCAACUUCGAGUCUUCAUCUGCCGAACCCAGCUCCCGGUCUUAACACUUCGCCUCGCCAAGUCCUCCCGGUCUUAACACUUCACCUCGCCAAGUCCACCUUCAUCACUGUAGGAUCGUUCCCAAGCAGAAGCUGGUC
rnacentral:lncRNA from 1 species